GCCCGGGUGGUGGAACUGGUAGACGCGCACGCUUCAGGUGCGUGUGGGGGCAACUCCGUGGAAGUUCGAGUCUUCUUCCGGGCACCA
rnacentral:tRNA from 1 species